rnacentral:rRNA from 1 species
CACCAGGUUGAUUCUGCCUGACGUAGGUGCUAGCCUCUAAGAUUUAGCCAUGCAUGCUCUGUGAACCGAAUGGGGAACGGCGGACGGCUCAGUAAUGUUGCGAUGAUCUGCUCUAGUUGUGUAAGAUAACCGCGGAAACCUGUGGCUAAGAGACUAGAAUGAGACGCAACCCUAUCAGUUUGUUGGUAGUGUAACGGACUACCAAGACUAUGACGGGUGACGGGAAAUCAGUGUUUGAUUCCGGAGAGGGAGCCUGAGAGAUGGCUCCCACGUCCAAGGAUGGCAGCAGGCGCGAAAAUUGUCCACUCUUUGUUGAGGAGACAGUUAUGAGGCGUGAUUGUAAGAGCGAAGAGUAAACAUCUUUGUGUAAUGCAACUAGAGGGCAAGUUUUGGUGCCAGCAGCCGCGGUAACUCCAACUCUAGAAGUGCCUAUUGUGGAUGCUGCAGUUAAAAAGUCCGUAGUCGUUGAUGCAAUUAAAAGGUGUAGAUCAAGUGCACCAAGUUUGUUAGUUGUGGCGGAGCGGACAGGGAGCAUGGUAUAGGUUGGCGAAGAAUGAAAUCUCAAGACCCAACCUGGACCAACUGAGGCGAAAGCGGUGCUCUUGUACGCGUCUGUGGAUCAAGGACGAAGGCUAGAGGAUCGAAAGUGAUUAGACACCGCUGUAGUUCUAGCAGUAAACUAUGCCGACAUUCUCUGUUGUUGAGACGGGGAGGGGAGAAAUCUUAGUUUUCGGGCUCUGGGGAUAGUACGCUUGCAAGAGUGAAACUUAAAGCGAAAUUGACGGAAGAUCACCACAAGGAGUGGAUUGUACUGCUUAAUUUGACUCAACACGGGAAAACUUACCAGGGCCAAGUCUCUCGUAGAUUGGCGACAUGAGAGGGGCAAGAGUGGUGCAUGGCCGUUGGAAAUUGAUGGGAUGACCUUUAGCUUAAGUGCUGUAACCAGUGAGAUCUUCUAGACAGGUGUCUUACUGACACAGGAAGGAGAAGGCUAUAACAGGUCCGUGAUGCCCUCAGAUGCCCUGGGCCGCAAGUGCAAUACAAUAUCCGUUUGAGCGACAUAAAUAUGCUUACGGAUGAGUAGGAUUAGCUCUUGUAAAUGAGCUAUGAAUGAGGAAUUCCUAGUAACUGUGUCUCAUCAAGGCACAGUGAAUGCGUCCCUGUUCUUUGUACACACCGCCCGUCACUAUUGCGGAUGGCAAUCAAGAUGAAGAGCCUAGGUUCUGAAUAUUGAUCGUUAGACAUAAUACAAGUCGUAACAAGGUAACGAUUGGAGAACCAGCCGUUGGAUCAUUC